rnacentral:rRNA from 1 species
AGGCUGAUGGCGACCGGCGCACGGGUGAGUAACACGUAUCCAACCUGCCGUCUACUCUUGGCCAGCCUUCUGAAAGGAAGAUUAAUCCAGGAUGGCAUCAUGAGUUCACAUGUCCGCAUGAUUAAAGGUAUUUUCCGGUAGACGAUGGGGAUGCGUUCCAUUAGAUAGUAGGCGGGGUAACGGCCCACCUAGUCAACGAUGGAUAGGGGUUCUGAGAGGAAGGUCCCCCACAUUGGAACUGAGACACGGUCCAAACUCCUACGGGAGGCAGCAGUGAGGAAUAUUGGUCAAUGGGCGAUGGCCUGAACCAGCCAAGUAGCGUGAAGGAUGACUGCCCUAUGGGUUGUAAACUUCUUUUAUAAAGGAAUAAAGUCGGGUAUGCAUACCCGUUUGCAUGUACUUUAUGAAUAAGGAUCGGCUAACUCCGUGCCAGCAGCCGCGGUAAUACGGAGGAUCCGAGCGUUAUCCGGAUUUAUUGGGUUUAAAGGGAGCGUANAUGGAUGUAUAAGUCAGUUGCGAAAGUUUGC